rnacentral:misc_RNA from 1 species
GAUGAAGAACGUAGCGAAAUGCGAUAAGUAAUGUGAAUUGCAGAAUUCAGUGAAUCAUCGAAUCUUUGAACGCACAUUGCGCCCGCCAGUAUUCUGGCGGGCAUGCCUGUUCGAGCGUCAUUUCAACCAUCAAGCCCUGCUUGCGUUGGGGUCCUGCGGCUGCCCGCAGGCCCUGAAAACCAGUGGCGGGCUCGCUAGUCACUCCGAGCGCAGUAAUACAUCUCGCUUUGGGCGUGCGGCGGGUUCUUGCCGUUAAACACCCCCUUUUUACCAAGGUUGACCUCGGAUCAGGUAGGAAUACCCGCUGAACUUAAGCAUAUCAAUAAGCGGAGGA